rnacentral:rRNA from 1 species
GUGGGGAAUAUUGGACAAUGGGCGAAAGCCUGAUCCAGCCAUGCCGCGUGUGUGAAGAAGGUCUUCGGAUUGUAAAGCACUUUAAGUUGGGAGGAAGGGCAGUAAGUUAAUACCUUGCUGUUUUGACGUUACCGACAGAAUAAGCACCGGCUAACUUCGUGCCAGCAGCCGCGGUAAUACGAAGGGUGCAAGCGUUAAUCGGAAUUACUGGGCGUAAAGCGCGCGGAGGUGGUUUUGUAAGUUGGAGGUGAAAUCCCCGGGCUCAACCUGGGAACUGCCUCCAAAACUGCAUGACUAGAGUACGGUAGAGGGUAGUGGAAUUUCCUGUGUAGCGGUGAAAUGCGUAGAUAUAGGAAGGAACACCAGUGGCGAAGGCGACUACCUGGACUGAUACUGACACUGAGGUGCGAAAGCGUGGGGAGCAAACAGGAUUAGAUACCCUAGUAGUCC